rnacentral:sRNA from 1 species
GGGGAGUAAGGGGAUGGUCCCCCCGCAGGCUGCAAACCUGUUGGCCUGCCUGUGAACAGGCGGGAGUCCGGUUCGAUUCCGACUACUCCCCUCCA